rnacentral:ncRNA from 1 species
GGAAAUGUAUUGAUGAGAAGAGUAGGUCAAGAGAAACUGACAGAGAGAAAGUCCAAUGGUGAGAGGAUUUUUAAGCGUAGCUUGUCUGAAGUGCAUCUCGGAACACCGGACCGAAUACAUUGGCGAUUGUGAAACAAUCCUGGUUUUAGUAGGCUCCGACGGGUAUGCCCGUUACAGCAUAAUGGUAUGAUUGUACCAGAUUUACGAGUUAUUUGCAUUCCGAUAUUUUGAUGCAGAUAAACAGAGUGGAACCGCGAAAUGAACUUUCGCCUCUGUC